CUUUUUUUUUUUUAAAUUAUUUUGGCAUAACUAAUAUGGGUUUUCUUGUUUGUAUUUUCUUUCUUGGUUGUGGUGUUUACGAGUCUGAUUUUUGGUUUGGCUGAGUGGUCUAUUUGCAUGUCAUUUUUUUUGUAUUGUUCUUAGUUAGGGUGUUUUAUAUUUGUUAUUGAUUAUGUGUUGUGUGCGUUGAUCGAUACUUUCUGGUUGCUUUCCUUUUUUUUUUUUAAUUUUGGUGAUAGUGACCCUCGAUUUUCAUUUUUUUUUUUUUGCGUUCUUGGUUGUGCUUCGUUAAUAAUUGAUCAUUUACUUUUUUUUGUCUGUGUAGGUGGGUCUAGCUCUUUGUGUUUGUUUUAUGUUUGCUUGCUAAGUAUGUUUUAUCUAUUUUGAUUGGAUCUACAUGUUUAAGGUUUAUUCAUCUCUGUUCAGUUUUGUACUAAUAUUGAUGCUGAUGAAUUUAUCCCAGUCCUGAGAUGUGAGAUUACUUACGUCUAGAUCUUGAUCACAACAUGUCGUUUCAAUUCCACUGUGUGGACUCGGUAGCCAGGUCAGAGAUCUUUUCCAGACUACGAUAAAAAUCAGUCUGGGUUUUGGAUUGUUUGAGGAAAAGAUGAGAGCAUAGAGCUGGAAUGCAUCGUUACAAUUUGGGAUCGGCUGUAUAUCGGCCGGGUUUAGUGAAUAUCUUGGUGAGAGAAGCAGUGGCUUUAUUAGAAGAGAAAAGAAAGAUGAAAGCAAUGAACAAAAUGGGACAGAGCGGGAAGCUGUGGAAGUGGAAGAGAACUAGCUAGAGAAGUUACCAUCAAUGGCUGUUUCAGUUUAAAUGGAAAUGGCAUAAACCAUGGAAACUCUCUUAGUGAAUAAAGCAUGACGAUGAGACCGUGGAAACUAUGCUCUUCAUGUCUAAGACUCAUGAUGAUGAUGAUGAUCACCCGUGGAAUUGACACUGAAAUUUUUCAAGGUGCUUAUAACGUUGUACUUAGGUUGAUCCGUAAAAUAUCUGUAUAUACACGAGCCUUUUUUUCUUUUCUUUUUUUUUUGUUAAUAGAUUAAGAGUUUUUCUGUUUGUGUGCACAGUCUAAGAACAUUAUAAUACAUUUUAUACACAA